rnacentral:lncRNA from 1 species
CUCAUCUAUUAUGUGAAUUUUACUAGUUUUCUGAGUUUUUGGUGGUACUUCACUGUUCCUCCCUCAACAAAGCAACAUUCACAGUAAGCCUUCCUGGUGCAUAAAUUACUCCAAUUUGCCAAUAUAGAAAUUGAGGCCUGCUGGCUUGUCUGAAAGUCACAACCAGAAAGUGUCGGGGUUUGGACUCAAGUUCAAGUUUUCUCAUUGUAAGCUGAGUGUUCUUUCUACCAUGUAAGCUAAGUGCCCAUAAGUGUGUUGACAGUCUCUCUGGUCUCAAAUUUGUGAUAUGAAGGUAUGGAGUAGAUGUUAUUUAAAUUCAUAUCAGUCCUAACAUCCCAUAAAUUACUGCAAUAGAGGACAAGAUUAAACUUGUAUUACUAUCAAUAUUUAUUCCUUCCACACAGAAACUAUGGAUUCUACUAAGUGCCAAAAAGUCGAUAUAAUUAUGAUGUCCAGUUUACUUGCAUGUAAUUUUUAUUCCCUGUCUUAUUUGUAAAUACCAAGGUUCAAAAUGGCCUUGGGUUUUAUUUUCACUUUUGCAAUCAUUUGGGAAUUUUAUCAAGGCUGAACAAGAGAUUUGGAAAUUCAUAAUGCAUUUCCCAAGAAGCUGCAACAUUGUGAAAUUCAUGGGGCUCUAACCUUUCUGCUGAGAGAAAGGGAGCUGACUGGACAAGACAGCUCAUUUCCAGUAAUGUUGCUGGGUAAUUCUCUGGAAAUAAGGGUGAGGCCAUAGUAAUCACAGCCCAGUUGUGUGCUUCUGGUUAGAGCCUAUAUUCAGGGACUAUAGUGGGACACCACACAGUCUUUUUUUUUCUCCCUCAGCCCUGGACAUUUACUCAGCAAGGUAUACUCAGUUAUCCAGGAGAGGCCAUAAAUGAUACAGUCCAGCCUAAUGCCCCUUGGAAGCUAAGAAGGUACAAAAACCAAAUUGCUGCCAAUGAUAAAGUUUCAAACUGGACACAGAUAAGAGACAGAGUGGGGCUUGAUUUUCUGCUUCUGAUUCCUUUUUAUAAAAUGUCCAUACAGUUAGUCUGAAUAGCCCAACCUAAUCCCUUUUCUGGGGGCAAAUGAUUGAGAGUUGAGUGGCAAACUUCCUUUAUCCAAACUCUUGGCCAUAACUCUUAACAUUCUUAAUUGGUUUCCUGUCUAUUCUUAAUCUCUUGAAGAUCUUGUCAAACCUUAAAAAAAAAAAAAAAAAAAGAAAAGAAAAGAGCUCUGCCUUAAAUAUUGCUUCUGUGAGAAUAUUUUGCCUGUGUAAGAAAAUACAGCUUUGAGUACAAUCCAAUUGAAGUGUCAAGUCCUGCCAGAUAACCAUGGUAGAAUCAGACCUUCUGAUCUGGAUUGGGAUUGAGGUUGGACACUGGUUCUGCCAUUAACUGGCAUGUUUCAUCAUUUGUUUUAUUUGAUGUUGAAAUCAUGCUUAUAAUUUUAUUUUACACCACUUUCCAGUAUGACAUCAGUGUCUUUGGCACCUUGGGCUUUAUUAGUUCAUGAAAUGGAAGCUUCUGUUUCCUUAAAAAUGCCUAGACUCUCUUGCUAACGUUGUGACAAUUUUUGCAACUCUUUCUAGGGCUAUAAUAUCUAUGCUGCUUGUGUGCAAAUAUUUGGGAAGUGGUGGUUGAUCUAAAAAUACUCAUAAAAAUAGGGAAAAAAUUAAGGCUUCUGACACUUUUCCCAACAUUUCUGCUACGACCACCAAGAGUUAACUAGAUGAUUCUUUAAUGCCCCACUACUUUAUCCUGCUAUUUUAUUUCUUCAGUCUGUUUUUGACUCUUAUAAUUACACCACUGCAAGCUAAGUCUAUACAUUACCUUUAGGCUGGAGAGCUCUGGGGUCAAGAUUUACUAGAUUCAAAACCCAGUUCAGCCAUUCUCUAGCUAUUUGGUCUCUGGUAAGUUCCAUCGCCUGUAAAACGGGGAUUAAAAAGGGGAAAAUACCGAGUAUGUACUAUUUGCUAGGCACUAGUUGGACAAUUUAUGAUCCAUUUAAUCAACCUUCUGCGAGGCAGGGAUCCCCAUUUUAUUAUGGUUAAAAAGCUGUAAUAAAAGCCAAUUGACCUAAAGGUCUCACAAGUAAAUAACUGGAGCCCAGGUUUGUCUCUAAAGCACAUGCUCUUUAGAACUACGCGACAUAAAGAAAACUUUAUUGAUUUUUCCCCCAGAUUAUGUUUCAAGGGUUCCCACUGCUGUUGAAUAAUUAAUUCCUUUUAGAUGUACAAAAACAAGUGCAAAGUAAAAGAAGAAAGGCAAAAUGGGGAAGGUGUGUAAUAUGA